rnacentral:rRNA from 1 species
UACGUAGGGCGCAAGCGUUGUCCGGAAUUAUUGGGCGUAAAGAGCUCGUAGGCGGCCUGUUGCGUCCGCUGUGAAAUCCCGGGGCUCAACCCCGGGCCUGCAGUGGAUACGGGCUGGCUAGAGGCAGGCAGGGGAGAACGGAAUUCCUGGUGUAGCGGUGGAAUGCGCAGAUAUCAGGAGGAACACCGGUGGCGAAGGCGGGUCUCUGGGCCAUUACUGACGCUGAGGAGCGAAAGCGUGGGGAGCGAACAGG